rnacentral:rRNA from 1 species
UACGUAGGGGGCAAGCGUUGUCCGGAUUUAUUGGGCGUAAAGAGCGUGUAGGCGGUUAGGUAGGUCCGUUGUGAAAACUCGAGGCUCAACCUCGAGACGCCGAUGGAAACCAUCUGACUAGAGUCCGGAAGAGGAGAGUGGAAUUCCUGGUGUAGCGGUGAAAUGCGCAGAUAUCAGGAAGAACACCCGUGGCUAAGGCGGCUCACUGGACCGGAACUGACGCUGAGGCGCGAAAGCGUGGGGAGCAAACGGG